UAGGGAAUAUUGGACAAUGGGUGAGAGCCUGAUCCAGCCAUGCCGCGUGCAGGAAGAAGGCGUUAUGCGUUGUAAACUGCUUUUGCCAGGGGAUAAAAAGACCGUGCGCGGUUAAUUGAAGGUACCUGGUGAAUAAGCCACGGCUAACUACGUGCCAGCAGCCGCGGUAAUACGUAGGUGGCAAGCGUUGUCCGGAUUUAUUGGGUUUAAAGGGUGCGUAGGUGGCCCUGUAAGUCAGUGGUGAAAUAUCUCAGCUUAACUGAGAGGGUGCCAUUGAUACUGCAGGGCUUGAGUACAGAUGAGGUAGGCGGAAUUGACGGUGUAGCGGUGAAAUGCGUAGAUAUCAAGAGGAACACCUGAGGUGAAGACGGGUUGCUGGGCUGACACUGACGCUGAGGCGCGAAAGCCAGGGGAGCAAACGGGAUUAGAUACCCCCGUAGUCCCUGAGCGGGCUGGCAAGGCGCAU
rnacentral:rRNA from 1 species